UACGAACUGUGCGAACGUUAUUCGGAAUCACUGGGCUUAAAGGGUGCGUAGGCGGCUUGUUAAGUCAGGUGUGAAAUCCCCCGGCUCAACCGGGGAACAGCGCUUGAAACUAGCAGGCUGGAGUGAGGCAGGGGUGUGCGGAACUUCCAGUGGAGCGGUGAAAUGUGUAGAUAUUGGAAGGAACGCCGGCGGCGAAAGCGGCACACUGGGCCUUGUCUGACGCUGAGGCACGAAAGCUAGGGGAGUGAACGGG
rnacentral:rRNA from 1 species